AUUGAACGCUGUCGGCAGGCCUAACACAUGCAAGUCGAACGAGUGGCGGACGGGUGAGUAAGGUCUGGGCAACUGAAUGAUGGAGGAGGAUAACUACUGGAAACGGUAGAUAAUAACGCAUACCAUCAGAUGUGCCCAGAUGGGAUUAGCUAGGUGGUUGGGUAACGGCUCACAAAGGCGACGAUCAUUAGAUGGGCUGAGAGGAUGACCAUCCACACUGGACCUGAGACACGUUCCAGACUCCUACGGGAGGCAGCAGUGGGGAAUAUUGCACAAUGGGCGCAAUCCUGAUGCAUCCAUGCCGCGUGUAUGAAGAAGUCCUUCGGGUUGUAAAGUACGUUCAGCUGGGAGGCGUGACCCGCAGAAGAAGCACCGGCUAACUCCGUGCCAGCAGCCGCGGUAAUAC
rnacentral:rRNA from 1 species